AGGAAGUGGUAAGAGAAAAAGAAUAGGAUUACUUUGUUAUCCUAUAACUUUUGGUAAGUAUUUAAUAGACUAAACUUUGUGUAUAUUGAGUAGGGACUGCUGUUUGAUUACUUGAUAAUUUUUUGGUUGACUGAGUUGAUAUUAGUUAUGUUUUUGGCUUGUUAUAAAGUGAAUUGAUUGUGAUGUGUUGUGAAGUGAAUUGAUUGUGAUGUGUUGUGAAGUGAAAUGAUUGUGAUUAAGGAUUGAUGACUUUUGUAUGGAUAUUGUGUGAUCGGGAAAGCUGAGCCGGGCGGAUAGCUACCCGAGUAUGUGAGAUGGCAAGACUGAGCCGGGCGGAUAGUCUUGUCAAGUGGUUACUGAAAUUUAAAAAUGUGAGGAAAUGUAAGGAUGAGUCAUCUGAUCCUA
rnacentral:lncRNA from 1 species